UGCUGACCGGCCUCAUCCUCAAUCUCACGUUCAUCUUCAACCUAAAUCUCCCUGCACCACGUCCCUCACCCUGCCUCACGUGAAGCUGACUGGCCAUAGCUGCUGACGGCAGGCGGCAAGAAAGCCGCCUUGCUGCCAGCCGCCGCCGCGGCAUUAGGCAUCCGGAGGGACGGCCGCCGGCACUUCCCUCGCGCGUCCCCUUCCCUCGCCGAUCCGAUUUCGUCGGGUCUCGUGCAUCACCCCGAUCCGAUUUCGUCGGGCGCGGCGGCACCUCCCUGUGUCCCUUGCGAUUUCAGACCCGUCCCUGAUCCGCCUACAGGAGGAUGAGCGGACGGAGUGCGGCAGCACUUGAAGGCGACAACAUUCCUCAGCAGCGGCGCCUUCCAGUCAAGGCAGGCAAUAGAAAGGCACAAGCAACUGAUCAUACAGGUUCCAACAAAAAAGUUCGUUGUAUGCGAGAUCUAUUAUGAUUUAAUGUCCGAAACGUGUCAGGAUGAUAAUAAAAUUACUGUAUAUCAAUCUAAUAGUUUGCAUUGAGUUUUCUUUGCAGCUAAACAAUCUUAUGGCAGGUAGGAUGCUGCAAUACAAUAUGUAAAUGCAAAGUACUCGUCCAAAAAAUUUGAGACACAACCAAUAUUCAAGCAUCAAACUCUUGGUAUACCGGCAAAAGAUAUGACAUGCCUUACCCUUCCUCCUGGUAUUAAAGAUGAUGACAAGUUUGUGGCAUGCAAUGUAAGUUUUUAUUUCUGAACGUGAGCUGAAAAGAAUGGUGUUGGUCGGGUUUGCAUGCACAAAGAGACCGAAAUACUUGAAGGUGUGCCUCUGAUGAAAGGCAAAUGAAAAGAGACACUUCUGAAGCUCCUAAGAGCUACUCAGGCCAAACUUCAUAAAGGGGCACAUGCUCUGCACCACUUAAGAUCAAGAACUAGCUGGGGGCAUGAAUUGUGAAAGAUUUGUAUGCAUGUGGAUGAAAAUUGUACAGCAUAUGUUUCCCAGAUGUAUAUUUUCUUAUCAUGUUUGAGAUGGAUGGUUUAACA